rnacentral:rRNA from 1 species
CCUACGGGAGGCAGCAGUUGGGAAUAUUGGACAAUGGGCACACGCCUGAUCCAGCAAUCCCGCGUGAGUGAUGAAGGCCUUCGGGUCGUAAAGCUCUUUUAGCAGGGAAGAAGGGGUAACCUUGACGGUACCUGCAGAAAAAGCACCGGCUAACUCUGUGCCAGCAGCCGCGGUAAUACAGAGGGUGCAAGCGUUGUUCGGAAUCAUUGGGCGUAAAGCGCGAGUAGGCGGUCUCUUAAGUCUGAUGUGAAAGCCCAGGGCUCAACCCUGGAAGUGCAUUGGAUACUGGGAGACUAGAGGGUGUAAGAGGAGAGUGGAAUUCAUGGUGUAGGGGUGAAAUCCGUAGAUAUCAUGAGGAACAUCAGUGGCGAAGGCGGCUCUCUGGUACAUUUCUGACGCUCAGACGCGAAAGCAUGGGGAGCAAACAGGAUUAGAUACCCUGGUAGUCCAUGCCCUAAACGAUGAAUACUAGUUAUCGGGAUACCUAAUUGUCUCGGUANACGUAGCUAACGCAUAGUAUUCCGCCUGGGAUACGGUCGCAGAUUAAACNCAAAGGAAUUGACCGGNNGAGAGNGCGAGACGACGACGAGGAGGAGG